UACGGAGGGUGCAAGCGUUGUCCGGAUUUAUUGGGUUUAAAGGGUGCGUAGGUGGCCCUGCAAGUCCGUGGUGAAAGCCUGCCGCUUAACGGCAGAACUGCCAUGGAUACUACAGGGCUUGAGUCCAGACGAGGUUGGCGGAAUGGAUGGUGUAGCGGUGAAAUGCAUAGAUACCAUCCAGAACCCCCGAUUGCGUAGGCAGCUGACUAGGCUGGUACUGACACUGAGGCACGAAAAGCGUUGGGGGA
rnacentral:rRNA from 1 species